UACGGAGGGGGCUAGCGUUAUUCGGAAUUACUGGGCGUAAAGAGCGCGUAGGCGGUUUAUUAAGUUGGAAGUGAAAGCCCAGGGCUUAACCUUGGAACUGCUUUCAAAACUGAUAAGCUAGAGAUUGAUAGGGGAUAGGCGGAAUUCCUAGUGUAGAGGUGAAAUUCUUAGAUAUUAGGAGGAACACCGGAGGCGAAGGCGGCUAUCUGGAUCAAUACUGACGCUAAGGUGCGAAAGCGUGGGGAGCAAACAGG
rnacentral:rRNA from 1 species